rnacentral:rRNA from 4 species
CAACUUUCAGCAACGGAUCUCUUGGCUCUCGCAUCGAUGAAGAACGCAGCGAAAUGCGAUAAGUAAUGUGAAUUGCAGAAUUCAGUGAAUCAUCGAAUCUUUGAACGCACCUUGCGCUCCUUGGUAUUCCGAGGAGCAUGCCUGUUUGAGUGUCA